AGCGAACGCUGGCGGCAGGCUUAACACAUGCAAGUCGAGCGGGCCCUUCGGGGUCAGCGGCGGACGGGUGAGUAACGCGUGGGAACGUGCCUUCUGGUUCGGAAUAACCCUGGGAAACUAGGGCUAAUACCGGAUACGCCCUUUUGGGGAAAGGGUUACUGCCGGAAGAUCGGCCCGCGCCUGAUUAGCUAGUUGGUGGGGUAACGGCCUACCAAGGCGACGAUCAGUAGCUGGUCUGAGAGGAUGAUCAGCCACACUGGGACUGAGACACGGCCCAGACUCCUACGGGAGGCAGCAGUGGGGAAUAUUGGACAAUGGGCACAAGCCUGAUCCAGCCAUGCCGCGUGAGUGAUGAAGGCCUUAGGGUUGUAAAGCUCUUUUAUCCGGGACGAUAAUGACGGUACCGGAGGAAUAAGCCCCGGCUAACUUCGUGCCAGCCGCCGCCGUAAAAC
rnacentral:rRNA from 1 species